rnacentral:rRNA from 1 species
GGGAUUGCCCCAGUAACGGCGAGUGAAGCGGCAACAGCUCAAAUUUGAAAUCUGGCGCCCCCCCCGCGGGGUGCCCGAGUUGUAAUUUGCAGAGGAUGCCUCUGGCGCGGCGCCUUCCGAGUUCCCUGGAACGGGACGCCGUAGAGGGUGAGAGCCCCGUACGGUCGGCCGCCAAGCCUCUGUGAGGCUCCUUCGACGAGUCGAGCAGUUUGGGAAUGCUGCUCAAAACGGGAGGUAUAUGUCUUCUAAAGCUAAAUACCGGCCAGAGACCGAUAGCGCACAAGUAGAGUGAUCGAAAGAUGAAAAGCACUUUGAAAAGAGGGUUAAACAGUACGUGAAAUUGUUGAAAGGGAAGCGCCCGCGACCAGACUCGGGCCCGGCGGAUCACCCGGCGUUCCUCGCCGGUGCACUCCGCCGGCGCCCGGGCCAGCAUCGGCUCGCCGCGGGGGAUAAAGGCGGCGGGAACGUGGCCCCUCCGGGGGUGUUACAGCCCGCCGCGCAAUGCCCCGCGCCGCGGGCCGAGGACCGCGCCCCAGGCAAGGAUGCUGGCGUAAUGGUCGCCGGCGACCCGUCUUGAAACACGGACCAAGGAGUCGUCUUCGUAUGCGAGUGUUCGGGCGUCAAACCCCUACGCGCAAUGAAAGUGAACGCGGGUGAGAGCCCUCGCGGGCGCAUCACCGACCGAUCCUGAUGUUCUCGGAUGGAUUUGAGUAGGAGCAUACGGGGCCGGACCCGAAAGAAGGUGAACUAUGCCUGUGUAGGGUGAAGCCAGAGGAAACUCUGGUGGAGGCUCGCAGCGGUUCUGACGUGCAAAUCGAUCGUCAAACAUGUGCGUGGGGGCGCAAAACUAAUCGA